AUACGGAGGGUCCAAGCGUUAUCCGGAAUCGUUGGGUUUAAAGGGUCCGCAGGCGGUCAAUUAAGUCAGAGGUGAAAGCCCAUCGCUCAACGAUGGAACUGCCCUUGAUACUGGUUGACUUGAGUUAUACGGAAGUAGAUAGAAUAAGUAGUGUAGCGGUGAAAUGCAUAGAUAUUACUUAGAAUACCGAUUGCGAAGGCAGUCUACUACGUAUAUACUGACGCUGAGGGACGAAAGCGUGGGGAGCGAACAGGAUUAGAAACCCUAGUAGUCC
rnacentral:rRNA from 1 species